rnacentral:rRNA from 1 species
AUUGAACGCUGGCGGCAGGCUUUACACAUGCAAGUCGAACGAGUGGCGGACGGGUGAGUAUUGUAUCGAAACGUGCCUAGUGGCGGGGGAUAACUCCUGGAAACGGUGGCUAAUACCUCAUACUAUCGGAUUUGCCCAUCUGGGAUUAGCUAGUUGGUGGGGUAAAGGCUCACCUUGGAGACGAUCCUGAGCUGGUUUGAGAGGAUGACCAGACACACUGGAACUGAGACACGGUCCAGACUCCUACGGGAGGCAGCAGUGGGGAAUAUUGGACAAUGGGCGAAAGCCUGAUGCAGCCAUGCCGCGUGUGUGAAGAAGGCCUUCGGGUUGUAAAGAACUUUCAGCGGGGAGGCGUUACCCGCAGAAGAAGCACCGGCUAACUACGUGCCAGCAGCCGCGGUAAUUC